CUAAUGCACAAAACAAGGCAUUCAUAGCCUUUGCAUUUAAAGCAAAAACCUUCUUCUCCGAUUCAUUCCAUUCACUCAUCGGAAGAGAAGAUUUUUGAAAUCCGUUUUCAACAAUAGACCAAAGCUCAAAGUCCAUAGAAAUGAGGAAGAUCCUCAUGCGAGUCUUCCAAUAUGUGUAAUCCGACCCAUUAAACAAAGGUGGUCGUGCAAUAGAGUGGCCCUCUUGCAUGCCGGAGUAAGCCAUCUCUCUUGGGUAUUAAACCAAAUAUGAGAGAUAACCUCGCUCUGAUACCACUUGUUAGGAUC
rnacentral:lncRNA from 1 species